AAAUUGAAGAGUUUGAUCAUGGCUCAGAUUGAACGCUGGCGGCAGGCCUAACACAUGCAAGUCGAACGGUAACAGGAAGCAGCUUGCUGCUUCGCUGACGAGUGGCGGACGGGUGAGUAAUGUCUGGGAAACUGCCUGAUGGAGGGGGAUAACUACUGGAAACGGUGGCUAAUACCGCAUAACGUCGCAAGACCAAAGAGGGGGACCUUCGGACCUCUUGCCAUCAGAUGUGCCCAGAUGGGAUUAGCUAGUUGGUGAGGUAA
rnacentral:rRNA from 1 species